UACGAGGGGGGCGAGCGUUGUUCGGAAUUAUUGGGCGUAAAGGGUGCGUAGGCGGUUUGGUAAGUCUUAUGUGAAAUCUAUGGGCUCAACUCAUAGUCUGCAUGAGAAACUGCCGGGCUUGAGUGUGGGAGAGGUGAGUGGAAUUUCCGGUGUAGCGGUGAAAUGCGUAGAGAUCGGAAGGAACACCAGUGGCGAAGGCGGCCGCCUGGACAGAUACUGACGCUGAGGCGCGAGAGCGUGGGGAGCAAACAGG
rnacentral:rRNA from 1 species